rnacentral:tRNA from 1 species
GCCUCGGUGGCUGUGAGGCAAAGCGCUGGCUUAUGGAUCCCCAGUCGGCGGGUUUGAAUCCCUGCCGAGGUG